GCGGUGGUAGCCGCGGUACCUCUGCUGUGGGAGGCGGUGGCCGCGUGAGGGGCGAGGCCCAAGGGGCUGGCGGCGGCCGGGCUGGCGGCGGCGGCAGGGACUUCCCGGCCGGGAUGUAUUAAGAAGCUGGGCCGGUCACUGUCAGGAUUGUCCUGUCGCUACAGAAUGUUCAGGCAGCUAGAGGGCAGAAAAGCUGCUUUCCAAAUUUAGACGUGAUGCAGGAUGUCAACUAUUCUGAAGUAUACCCUCAAGUCCAAUUCUGCUGACCGAGCAUCUGCAGAGAUGACCAGGCAGUCUCUUCAGGGUCAUCUUUCUCAAGUGUAAAAGUGGAUAGUGGCUCAAGUGUAAAAGGAUGGCACGGUCACGCUCUCGAUCCCCCAGGUGGAAACACAGGUCUUUAUCACCAGUACCUAGAAAUUCUGAACACUACAAACAAAGACAUUCUUAUGGGCAUUAUGGCUGUGAAUAUAGGAAGGAUCCAAAAAGACCCAUCACUUGGCGAAUGGACAGUGAGAAACACGGACAGAGUAAACCAAGGAUUCCUUCUCGUGGAAAUGUGCAUUACCGAUCUUAUGAACAUAGAUCACCUUCCCCAAACCUAAGAAGAAACUCUUUAGAAAAUGUUUAUACUUAUAAGCCUUACCGAGCAUACUUAUCAGGAGGAGGGGAUGGUAACAGAAGAUCUCACUAUAUGCCCAAAUAUUCAGAAGGUGUACCCUACAAAGAGCACCAGGGGAAUUGUUAUUCCCAGAAAGAACAAGGAAGGUAUACUCCUGAUGACCACAGAGUCAGAGGAAGUGGAAAAGGAGGGAAACCACCUCAGAGGUCAAUAGCAGAUUCUUCUAGGUUUGAAGGAAAGUGGCAUGAAGAUGAGUUGAGGCACCAGAGGAUACAAGAUGAAAACUAUUCUCAGUCACUGAGAAGAGGCUCCGAAGACUUUGAGAAAAGGAGCUCUUUACAGAAGAGGUAUCCUGAGGAUCGUGAUUUCAGAAAAUAUGGACACACAUCAAAAAGACCUAAAGAUGUGGAGAGGUAUGAAAGCAGAGAGCCUGCCAGGAACCCACAGUGGAAGUUCGGGCAUUCUCUUCCAUCUUACCAAGAAAAGAAAGAGCAGUGGAACCUUGGACCCCAAACUCAUCGACGUGCUCAGAGGGAACCGCCAGAGACCAGUUCAGCAACCAGGGUAUCCUGUGACUAUCGCCACAAACGUCGCAAGACCUCAGGUGGGGACCAGGACAUUCCUGAUGGAAGAAUUCAGAAGUACUCUAAGGAGGAAGAUAGAAAACCCAGUUCUCAAAAAGGCCCUGAAAAUAGACAGUCCAUUUGUCUUAAUGCUGGAAGAGGGAGAGAAACUGAAGGUGGGCAAGUCAAAGAACCUUCCAAACCAUCUAAGAAAGACUGCACUGACUGCACUGCCUCUAUGCAUUCAAGUAAAAGUGAUGUUGGCUUGAGACCCUGCGGUGACAAAUGGAAGGAGAAAGGAAAGAAAGAAGGGGAUGGCAGAAAAGAGAGCAACUCUUCCAGUAACCAACUUGAUGAAAGUAAACUUUCUAGUGUGAAACCUUCAUCUGCCAGUCUUAGGAAGACAUCACUUACUGUUAAAAUAGAUGUGAAGAAAGCAGUAAAUACAUCCAGGGUUGCUUCUAGCUAUUCCACAGAGAGACAGAUGUCACAUGAUUUGGUUGCUGUUGGCAGGAAAAGUGAGAACUUUCAUCCAGUGUUUGAACAUCUUGACUCAACUCAGAAUACUGAAAACAAACCUACAGGAGAAUUUGCUCAGGAAAUCAUAACUAUAAUCCAUCAAGUUAAAGCAAAUUAUUUUCCAUCACCUGGCAUUACUCUACAUGAGCGUUUUUCAAAAAUGCGGGAUACGCAAGCUGCAGAUGUAAAUGAAAUUAAAUUGAAUUCAGAUCCAGAAAUUCACAGGAGAAUAGAUAUGUCUUUGGCUGAGCUUCAGAAUAAGCAAACUAUGGUAUAUGAACCAGAACAGACUCUGGUCAAAAUAAUAGAUCCAAAUGAUCUACGACAUGACAUUGAAAGAAGGAGAAAAGAACGGUUACAGAAUGAAGAUGAGCACAUUUUUCACAUAGCUAGUGCUGCAGAGAGGAGUGAUCAGCAUUCCAGUUUUUCGAGGUUGAAGAAUACUACUCAUGUUGAUGAAUUCCAAAAACCUACAGGUUUUGUAAAAUCAAAUUUUAGAAAAUUUAUUCAGAAACCUCACAUGAAUUAUACUAUGCAGAGAAAAGACAUCAUUACUCAGAAACCCUUUGGAGUUGAGGAAAGACAUCAAAACACAACAGGCUUUAGAAGACCUUUUAAGACCAAAUUUAGAGGUGGCAGAUUCCAGCCCCAUUAUAAAUCAGGCCUAGUACAGAAGAGCUUAUACAUUCAGGCUAAAUAUCAGCGUUUACGAUUUGCUGGCCCAAGGGGAUUUAUCACUAAUAAAUUCAGAGAAAAAUUACUGAGGAAAAAAAAGGAUGAAGAUACUUCCAGAUGGAAGCAGGAGAAGUAAAGCUGGAUCAGAAACUCACCUCCGUUAUCUAGCAAACUCAAUAAUCUGCAGCCCCAGAUUAACCAGCAGCAACCAUACAAGGAAGAGGGUAGAAGAUGCUAAUGCAACAAGAUACGAUGUGACUUCAACACCUCCCCCGCCUCCUAAGUAGCACAGAAUAAAGAAACAAAGUUGAGGACAUCUUGGUGACAAGGGGCCGCAUUAUGGACAAAGGAACCGAUGAGGUGACCAGGCCAUGUGGGGUAGAGUCAAGGAAAGCCCUUGGGAAGAUGAAGUCUUUGCUGCUGUCUCAGGACCUCUGCAAAAGGGGAACAAUUCACCAGGACAAGGCAUUUCCAGGGUCGCGGAGCAGCCUGGGGAAGCCAAAGCCUGCAGGAUAAGAUAGACCUUUGCAUCCAGUGAGUCCUGGUUCUGGACACUUAAUGGGAACCCAGAAGAGAGGGGAUACCAGGUUCCCCAACAAAGUUCCAGCAAAAGGAAUGGAACUCUCCUAGGAGCCCUGCCUCACAGUUUCCUGCAGACAAGGAUAUGAAGCACGAAGGGAACCAUCAGACUCCAGGCACCUUCUCAGUGUCAGGAGCUAGGUGUGCUGUCCACUGAAAGAACUUGACAAGGAGUCAUCUAUACUUCUAGCACCCAGAGGAGGCUGGAGGAAGACUAAGGAUGGAGAAGGAAGACCUCCAGCCUAGGAUGUAUCAAUCUGGGUCUGGUCCAGAAAAGAGACUCUGCAUGUUAGAAUUCAGCCACGUUUGCUGGUUUAGGUGUAUUGGUCUCUGCAACAUCCAGGUAAGCCAUGGUGGGUAUCACUGACGCUGUUCAAAGACUUCGGUCCCAAUGCUCUGAGAAUGCAUGGGCAGCCAGCAGAGAAUCCUCAGCACCGAGAUGCUAGCCCACCACAAGUCCAGCUCAGCUAUUUCUGUGUUGAAACACGCCCAGUCAUUUUCAGGGCCCCGAGUCUUCUUGGGAGAGGGAUAAGGUAGCCCAGUGACUGUGGCCUUAGCAAAAAGAGUUACCUCUGGAAUUGCAGACCCCAGACUAGUUCUUCUGGGUGGAGUUCAAGAAAAAAAAAAGUCCUAGUAAUAGUGGGCCUUAGCCAGGCUCCAUAGAGUUUCAGUGUUUGUCAGCUCUAAGAUCCUAUCACAAGGCUUCAUCUCUCUGAUAUGCCAAGGCAUGUAAUGAGUGAGGCACCAUGGAUCCUGGAGCAGGUAUAAUGAGUAUUCAUCUGUGCCUCCAACACUUCAAAUUCUUAAUUUCCAUGUUCUUUAACCCCUUCCUUAGGAGUCUGCCAUUGCUGUCACUACUACCUUCUCUGUAGCUCCAUGGAUGGGUCUUCGCCCCCUUGAUUAGUCUCUUGUUUAGAUUGCUCUGACACACAAGAAAAGUAUUUAGAAAGUUGAUGUUACUGAUCUCUUGUUGAUAAGACCCUGACUAUGAGAGUUUUUUUUUUAAAGCUAAUGAAACAAUUAUAAGAAAAUCUUUCUGCAGAAAUCUCAGCAUGUAACCUAUUUACCAAAGUUGCCCCAACAUCAUGGGUGAGGUAUGAACACAGCCCUAUAUAUAGGGGAGGGGGUCAGCUUUUAUUUGUCACCUCUGGGUCCACUAACCUUCAGCCUCCUCCGUUUUUCAGGGGCCAGUGAUUUGAUUUAAUUGUUUUAUUUUCUCUCUUUUUGAAUGUUUCCCAUCUAUUUCACUAUCUCUUCCUACCACCAGAUGGUGGAAAGGGAAAAGGAAAUAAACGGAUGGUAAAUGAAUGUGGUGCUGGCUGGCAGAGUACGGCAAAAGGUGUAGUGGUGAAUGGACCCAAAAAGGAGCUUGUGAGUUACCUAUGUUACCUAUGAAUUCCCUGUUUUAAUUUCAGCGCCGAUUCAAAGGUCGGCUGCCUAGGUCUGUUGGGGGGGGGCAAUGUAGCACAACACCUUGCUGGGGAGGGAGUCAGCCCUUGCCUUAGGAGAUUCUUGGGAACAUCAGAGCCUGGGAACACAGCUGAGCAACCCAACUCCACCUGGCCCAGGCCCGGGGUGCGGGGUUAGGGGUCCCUGCGAGGGUCGGUGCGGGGCGAUGUGCCCCACCAGCCCCACUGCGUCCUUCUCUUUCUGAAUCUCUCCGCCGCCUCCUGUAAGCCGAACUCGCACUUGGCUGGCCUUUCCCACGCUGCACUGAAUGGAUGUAGCAUUUCUCUCCCUCCAUAGGGACCCUUUCUCCUGCCUUCCCAACAGACCGCUCUGUGAAAGCUUAUUUUGGGUUGCCUUGAUCCUCGAUCCCGGAGUUACCUGCCAUCACCCACAGCAGGUGUUCAUUCCCUCACCUACCUAUGGUCUCCCCACCGCCAGCCCGCCCUCCAUCUCUCGUCGCACUCAGUGGGUCUGCCGCUUCCACCUCCUUUCCCACGUGCCCCUCCACUCGGACGCCCCCUCCCCCACGACCCCCGCUCCGGUCUCGAGGAGUCUCGCGGCAUUUCCCGGGGCGUGAGCCGAGCCGCCGCGGGUGUGGGGCGGCCUCGCAGAGCUGGGUCCCUCCCCAGCAGGAGGUGAAGGGGGGCGCCCGAGCGCUGUAGC